AAAGAGCUUGCUCCCUUGACGUUACGCGGACGGGUGAGUAACACGUGGGUAACCUACCUAUAAGACUGGGACAACUUCGGGAAACCGGAGCUAAUACCGGAUAAUAUGUUGAACCGCAUGGUUCAAUAGUGAAAGAUGGUUUUGCUAUCACUUAUAGAUGGACCCGCGCCGUAUUAGCUAGUUGGUGAGGUAACGGCUCACCAAGGCAACGAUACGUAGCCGACCUGAGAGGGUGAUCGGCCACACUGGAACUGAGACACGGUCCAGACUCCUACGGGAGGCAGCAGUAGGGAAUCUUCCGCAAUGGGCGAAAGCCUGACGGAGCAACGCCGCGUGAGUGAUGAAGGUCUUAGGAUCGUAAAACUCUGUUAUUAGGGAAGAACAAACGUGUAAGUAACUGUGCACGUCUUGACGGUACCUAAUCAGAAAGCCACGGCUAACUACGUGCCAGCAGCCGCGGUAAUACGUAGGUGGCAAGCGUUAUCCGGAAUUAUUGGGCGUAAAGCGCGCGUAGGCGGUUUUUUAAGUCUGAUGUGAAAGCCCACGGCUCAACCGUGGAGGGUCAUUGGAAACUGGAAAACUUGAGUGCAGAAGAGGAAAGUGGAAUUCCAUGUGUAGCGGUGAAAUGCGCAGAGAUAUGGAGGAACACCAGUGGCGAAGGCGACUUUCUGGUCUGUAACUGACGCUGAUGUGCGAAAGCGUGGGGAUCAAACAGGAUUAGAUACCCUGGUAGUCCACGCCGUAAACGAUGAGUGCUAAGUGUUAGGGGGUUUCCGCCCCUUAGUGCUGCAGCUAACGCAUUAAGCACUCCGCCUGGGGAGUACGAC
rnacentral:rRNA from 1 species